CAUUCCCUCCCCAUUCAUGCAAUAGCACUGCUGCAGUGUGUUAAUAUUUGCUGUCUUUGUUUAUGAUCAUUCUGUCGGAUCAUCAGAUACCUACAAGAGAGGAGAGCUACUGGUGUAUUCUGUGGUUAACAGACAGGACAGAGCGAGCCCCGCCGAUAAUACAGGAGCAGCAGAAAGAGGGCGAGUGAAGAUACAGUCAGCGCAGGUGAACAGCUACAAUCUGCACCACGUGUCGCCAUCAUGGAGGAGGACGAGCAUAAACAAGACUUUCUCUAUUGUGAAGAGUGUCAGUCAUUUUUCAUCGGUGAAUGUGACGUUCAUGGUGCUCCAUUGUUCAUUCCUGACACCGUUGUGUCUGUGGGGGCUGCAGACCGGGCCAGACUUACCCUUCCUGCUGGACUGGAGGUUCGGACAUCCAACAUUCCCAAUGCAGGACUCGGGGUGUUUAACCAGGGUGAGAUUCUUCCAGUUGGAGCACAUUUUGGCCCUUAUGAGGCAGAAGCAAGCAAAAAGGAGGAAGCUAUCAGCAGUGGAUACUCAUUUGUGGUGAGCCUGUUGUCUAAAAAAGCAGUGUUUUUCACAGAGAAAUGUUUUUUCAUACAGAAACUGUGAACAUUUUUGAGAUAGAUGUAGAGUACUAACUCCAACAAUGACUUUACGUGAUACAUCAUUAAAAUGUGGUUUAAAAGAAAGUUUACAA